rnacentral:lncRNA from 1 species
AUAUAGAGAAGAGUGGCUGGACGUUCUUUCGGGGAGACAGUUAAGCGCUGGCAUGGACUUCCAACCCUGCUCCGGCCGAGGACGAGGGCAUUGGUUUCAGGAGAAAUUGAACCAGAAACGCUCUGUCCUGGGAGCAGCAGUCACAGGACCGGGGUUCAGGGUAGGGCCCAGGCUGAAAGUGGGGAUUCGGGGAAAGUCUACCCACUGAGUGAGGCCCAGCACACGCGGGGUGAAGAACCCCAAAGUCUUGCUCCGGCCCUGAAAUGGCCUUGAGCUUCCGCACAGCGACACUGCAGGUCAGAAGCCUGUGCAGCGGCGUCUUCAAACAUUUCAGGGAAAUGCCUUCCGGGCUGGAAACCUGCUCCAGCCGCGUACUCCUUGACCCCACUGGUGGAGCUCGGAUGAUGGCUGAGCCUGUAGUUGCGAGAGUCCCUCCUUCGCUUCUCAGCAGUUUUGGUGGCUGGCUCCAGACUCCGUGGCUCUCCUGCUCUCUCCACCUCCCAGGUUUUGACAGUAGGCAGGAGCAUCUGGGGAUUAAUGGAAGGCCCCAUUCUCCACCAGGUCAAACAGACGGGUUCGCAGCCACAGACACCUGAAGGCAAGUAAGGCCACCUGGCCAGAGCUCCUGGCAUGGGGCAGGCAGUGAGCAGGGUGGGACAUACCUGGCAGCCCUUUCCCUCUGCAACUGCACCACUCAGCCCUGACAGUGGUGCUAUGAGGGUGCUCUCUCUAUGUAGGUGCUCUCUCUAUGUGGGUGCUCUAUGUGAGUGCUCUCUAUGUAGGUGUUCUCUCUAUGUGGGUGCUCUCUCUAUGUGGGUGCUCUCUCUAUGUGAGUGUUCUCUAUGUAGGUGCUCUCUCUAUGGGGUACUCUAUGUGGGUG